UUUUAAUUGGGAUUUGGGGUCCAUUAAUGGGAUUUGGGGUCACUUCAAUGGGAUUUGGGGUCACUUCAAUGGGAUUUGGGGUCCAUUAAUGGGAUUUGGGGUCACUUUAAUGGGAUUUGGGGUCCAUUAAUGGGUUUGGGGUCACUCAAUGGAUUGGGGUGCAAUUAAUGGAUUUGGGGUCACUUCAAUGGGAUUUGGGGUCACUUUAAUGGGAUUUUGGGUCCAUUAAUGGGAUUUGGGGUCACUUUAAUGGGGUUUUGAGCCACAGAAUGGGGUUUUGGGGCACUUUAUUGGGGUUUUGGGGUCACUUUAAUGGGGUUUUGAGUCACAUAAUGGGGUUUUGGGGCACUUUAUUGGGAUUUGGGGUCCAUUAAUGGGAUUUCGAGCCACAGAAUGGGGUUUUGGGGCACUUUAUUGGGGUUUUGGGGUCACUUUAAUGGGGUUUUGAGCCACAUAAUGGGGUUUUGGGGCACUUUAUUGGGGUUUUGGGGUCACUUUAAUGGGGUUUUGGGGCUACGCAAUGGGAUUUGGGGUCAAUUAAUGGGAUUUCGGGGCUACGCAAUGGGAUUUGGGGUCACUUUAAUGGGAUUUGGGGUCACUUUAAUGGGGUUUUGAGUCACAUAAUGGGGUUUUGGGGCACUUUAUUGGGGUUUUGGGGUCACUUUAAUGGGGUUUUGGGUCUCAUCAGUGGGAUUUUGGGUCACUUCAUUGGGAUUUGGGGUACGUUAAUGGGAUUUCGAGCCACGUAAUGGGAUUUUGGGGCUACACAAUGGGAUUUGGGGUACAUUCAUGGGAUUUGGGGGCUACGCAAUGGGAUUUGGGGUGCAUUCAUGGGGUUUUGGGUCUUCUUAGUAGGAUUUUGGGUCUUUUUAGUGGGAUUUUGGGUUGCGUAUAUGGGAUUUCGAGCCACGUAAUGGGGUUCUGGGUCACUUUAUUGGGAUUUUGGGUCUACGCAAUGGGAUUUCGGGUUGUGUUAAUGGGAUUUUCGGUCUAGGAAUGGGGUUUCGGGUCUACGUAAUGGGAUUUUGGGUCUACGGAAUGGGAUUUGGGGUUGUGGUCAUGGGAUUUUGGGCCUACGUAAUGGGAUUUGGUGUGCUACGUAUGGUAUUUCGAGCCACGUAAUGGGAUUUCGAGCCACGUAGUGGGAUUUUGGGUCUUGUUAGUGGGAUUUGGGGUACGUUAAUGGGAUUUCGAGCCACAUAAUGGGAUUUUGGGUCUACGUAAUGGGAUUUCGAGCCACGUAAUGGGAUUUUGGGUCUACGUAAUGGGAUUUCGAGUCCCGCUAAUGGGAUUUUGGCUGGGAUCGCCCCCUCUAGGCCCCUAUAGGGCCAGGUAGAGCGUGAUGGGGCAGUGGUCGCUUCCCAUGGCCACGUAAUGGGAUUUUGGGUCUACGUAAUGGGAUUUCGAGCCACGUUAAUGGGAUUUCGGUCCCGCUAAUGGGAUUUUGGCUGGGAUCGCCCCCUCUAGGCCCCUAUAGGGCCAGGUAGAGCGUGAUGGGGCAGUGGUCGCUUCCCAUGGCCGCGGAGCGGAUCUUGGAGUCGCACAGCGCCUCCCGGAGUCGCGUGGAGAGGAGGAAAUAAUCCAACCUCCAGCCCACGUUGCGCUCCCGGGCGCCCCCCAUAUAGGUCCAAAAGGUGUACGCGUUGGGGACGUCGGGGUAAAGGAGGCGGAAGGAAUCCAAAAACCCCCCAUCCAAAAGGGCCCCGAAAGCGUCCCGUUCUUCUUGGGUGAAUCCGGGGGACCUCCGGUUGCUUUUGGGGUUCCUGAGGUCGAUCUCACGGUGGGCCACGUUGAGGUCCCCGCAGAGGACGACGGGUUUUUGGGCGUCCAAACGUUGCAGGAAGGAUUUAAAGGCUCCGUCCCAACGUUGGCGGUAUUGGCAGCGGUGGUGAGAACCCCGGACCGAAAUUUGGGACGUAGGCUGAGACCACGUAGACGGAGGGGAAUUCCGCCGUCAAGACCCGGCCUCGGGCCGUCGUGCUCCUCUAUGC
ensembl:lncRNA